GAUCGCGGCGCGGCGCGUGGGUCGGAAGCGCCGCGGCGGCGGCGGGGGAGCGGAAAAUGGCGACGGCCGCGCAGCUCACGGACGAGGAGCUCUUCUCAGAGCUGAGGCGCUUCGGCUUCUCCCCGGGGCCGGUCACCGAGAGCACCCGGCCCGUCUACCUGAAGAAGCUGAAGAAGCUGCGCGAAGAUGAACGGGCCGGGGCCCGCGGCGGCGGCGCCAACAAGACCCGGAACAGCAACAACAAUAACACGGGAGCCGGAGCGGCGCCGGGUGGAGGCGGCGGCCCCGGGCGGGCGGCCCCGGGAGCGCGGCUGGCCGGCGCCGAGCACCCCUUCCUCGCCGGGGCCGCCGCCGGAGGCGGCCGGGGCCGCGCCGCACCCCCCGCCGGUGGCGGCAAAGUGCUGCUGGGCUUCAGCUCGGACGAGUCGGACGUGGAGAGCAGCCCCCGGAGCCAGGCCGGCGGCAGGAGGGAGCGCGCUGCGCCCCUAUACCGCGGCCUCAGGCCCGCCGCCCCCCACGGCGCCGGCGGCGUGAGCAGCAGCUCCCCCCCGGAGGAGGCGGCCCGGCGGAAGCCCAACGCCUGGUGGGGGGCGGCCGCCAGGAGACCGGCGGCGACUCAGGGUGUGAGGGAGCUCGGGGACGGCGAGGAGGAGGACGACGAAGAGGAGGAGGAGAAGGAGAGCGAGCAGCAGAGGUGGAAGAACCGGACCGUGAACGGGAACCGGCUCUUCUACGGAGGCAGCAGGGACAAGUACUCGGACUCGGAGGAGGAGGAGGCGGCGGGGGCGAGGGCCAAACAGCAGGGACCGAAGGAGGAGUCUGCAGUUCGCCGGCCCAGACGGAGCCUCAGCAAGUCGCCUGCUCCAUUCAUAACAAGCAAAUGCGCUGCAGCCGGCGCUGGCGUGAUGGAGACGGGCCAAGAAAGGGCUGGCGGAGGCUGCGGUGCUGGUGUGCUCGUAACGAAUGACAGGGCGGCGGGGGCGGCUGCUGCCGGCAGUCUAGACAGGGGCAGAAAUCAGGAGGAGGAGGAGGAGGCGGCGGCGGCGGUGGUGGUGGCGGCGGCGGCGGGGGGAAGAGGAGGAUGUGAAAAUCUGGACUCUAGUCCUCCGAGCCCCAGAUACCGCAUUGGGCUAUCCAAGAAAUCCCCAUCAGUAUUGUUGCUGCCACCACCGCUCACGGACGUGGACAGCGGCAAAAUCACUGACCCUCCAGCCACCAUUAGGAAAGCGACCAAUAAUCAUGUUCUCAGCGGUGCUCCUGGUAGCUGUAGUGUUGAAUCCAGGAUCUAUUCAUCUACUAAUAGCCUUCCCCCGGGUGGAACCCCCUCCUCCCUUAGACUCAACCACUCCAAUCAUACGGGUUCAAAUCAUACCUACCUGAAAAACACCUACAAGAAGAAUCUCUCUGAGCCCGAGGAGGAGCUUCUCCAACAGUUCAAAAGAGAGGAGGUAUCCACCACUGGAGGCUUCAGUGCACAUUACCUGUCCAUGUUCCUCUUAACUGCUGCAUGCUUGUUCUUUCUGAUACUGGGAUUCACAUACCUGAGAAUGAGAGGUUCUGGAGUAGCUGAGGAUGUGGGAGCCAACAUCAAGGAUCCCUUUAGUGAAGAACUUCAAAAAAUACAAGAAGAUGAGAUAAGUCUCAUGAUGAAGAGCUUGUAUGCGCUUCAUGAUAAAUUGGCGCAAGUAGCAGGGGAACAUGAAUGUGGCAGCUCUAUUCAAAGAAACCUUUCCGUCCAAGAGGCAGCUGCAUAUUUAAAAAAUUUAGAUCCAGAAUAUGAAAGUGUACUGAACACAUCAUUACAAUGGAUCUUGAAUAGUGGGGAAGAUGUUGGCAUAAAGUGUCUCAGCAAUGACCCUAAUGAGAUGGAUGUCACUAAUGUGACAGAUGUGAAGUAUCUGGAAUCCACUAGUCCAAAGAUGUCUUUCAGGUGUCGUUUUCGCCGUGCAUUUGUUAAUGUAACUCACAGAUUAUCAAUAUUGCUUUGGGGUAUAGCAAUGGUUUGGGGAGUCUUACACUACAUGAAAUACCGUUGGGCAAAAGAGGAAGAAGAAACAAAGCAGAUGUAUGAUAUGGUGGUGAAAAUCAUAGAUGUUUUAAGAAGCCACAGCGAGGCAUGUUCAGAAAAUAAAGAGUUGCAGCCUUAUAUGCCAAUUUUACAUGUGCGUGAUUCUCUAAUACCACCUCAGGACAGGAGGAAGAUGAAUAAAGUCUGGAACAGAGCAGUUGACUUUCUUGCAGCAAAUGAAUCUAGAGUUCGUACAGAGACAAGAAGAGUUGGUGGUGCUGAGUUCUUGGUUUGGAAGUGGAUGCAACCUUCUGCAGCGUGUGACAAAAUUUUAGUAAUACCAUCGAAAGUAUGGCAAGGCCAAGGUCCAGGUCCAUGACUAGGCUACCCCAGACCACCUUCUCCAGUAUGGUGUGGUGCCCCAGUGUACAAUAUGCUGGUGACAUUUCACCCCACCCUUGAUCUGCUGGAGCCAACCUCCAUGAGUAAGCAUUUCAUCUAGAUAGAAGAAAUUCACCACCAAACAGCUUGACACCAUGUCUAAAGAUUCGCAAUAUGUUUGAUCCAGUUAUGGAAAUAGGUGAUCACUGGCAUCUAGCAAUUCAAGAAGCAAUCUUGGAGAAAUGUAGUGAUAAUGAUGGAAUUGUUCAUAUUGCCGUAGACAAAAAUUCACGUGAGGGCUGUGUAUAUGUCAAGUGUCUCUCCCCGGAGUAUGCUGGAAAGGCUUUCAAGGCAUUACAUGGCUCUUGGUUUGAUGGAAAGCUGGUAACAGUAAAAUACCUGCGACUAGAUCGGUAUCAUCAUCGUUUUCCCCAGGCUCUUACUUGUAACACUCCACUGAAGCCAUCAAACAAACACAUGAACUCUAUGUCACAUCUGCGUCUUCGGACAGGCACAACUAAUUCUCAGGGAAGUUCCUGAGAAAACUUUCUACAACUGCUAGGACUGUUACUUGCAACAGGAAUGUUCCUGUUUGGCUGCCGUCUUCCUUUUUUAGUGCUUUUUCUAUGUAAUACUUUAAAGAAUUAAAUAAAAGUUUGAACGUUCCAGAAGUCUUGUUUCCAAAGGGACUUAGCAAUGAGGCAGUAAUACUGAGCUGACAAAAAAGAAAAAAAACUUGCUUCACAAAGUUUUCCGGGGCUAUAGUAAACCGAUGCAUUUAAGUUUUGCAUGAGGAAUACCGAUUUCAUUAUACAUUUGCAGAUGUGGUGACGUAUUUUUGCACCAAGAAGUGUUUUUGAUAAUACAAAAGCAUGGAGAAAAGAAGACUUCCUGUAUUUCCAUAGUUUCCUGUGAAAUAAUCUUGUGGGUAUUUUGUAACAAGCAACCUACAGUUCCUGAUGGUUAAAUAAGUUAAAAAAAAAAAAAAUUCAGUCAAUAUUAGUUUUUUGUUGCUGUAUAAGAAUCUUUUUCUGCAGCUGGGGUAUGGGGAAAGUGAAUUUGGCAUUAGUGGUUUCAUAUCAAUGUGAGGGAAGAUGAACUGAUUGCGGAUGUACUGGAUUUUGUAUAUAAAUGUAAAUGCUGGUGGUGGCAAAAAGGGUUGUGUUCCGUGAAGAUGUCUGCAUCGAAGCAGCAAAUAAGCUUCCUAUUUUAUUCAAAACCUAUUGUUUUAUAUGGUUUUGGCUGUACCAUGACAAGAGGCCAAAUACCUAAAAGUGUUGGAUACAGGUUAAAUAUCUUUUAUAGGUUUUAUAUAAAAUACCUGACUGAUUUUGUGUGAAAGGUCUGAUACCAAUUGUAAUGAAUUCAAAUUUGUGAGCAAUAAAGAAGCAAUUGGCAGAUACUGGAAAAAUAUUUUGUGAAAAGCUGUAUUUAUUAUUACAAGUGUCAGGGCUGUGACAAAAUACCAUUGGAUUAAGCGAUGUUCCCAGUACAUUAUAACAUAUUUUAACGAACCAUUUAUCUGUUAAAAUUUUUAAAGGUACAUACUUCCUUGCAACAAUUUUGGCUCAUGCAAGCAAGUGCAGCUGACAGUAAAUCUUGUGAUUCCAAGCUUGUCAAUUUACUAAUGUUUACCUAGAAGUACAAAAUUGUUGCUGAGAAGCUUAGUUGCAAAUCUAAGAUUAUUGGCUUUACUAAUCCCCACUCCUACAACAGUUUUACCUAGUUAUCCAGCUGGACAUCCUGUAGGAGGUGAGACUGGAAGCACACCAGUCCCACAAAUUUUACUGAAACUCACUUUACUUUGUAGAUAUGAUGGAUCUGCAGCAUGAACUUGCACAAAUAAUGCACGUUUUUCUUACGGUUAAGUAAACAUGAUGCACACUAUUCUGCAACAGGAAAUCCUAUUGUGCCUUACCUUUGUGCUUUUGUGGGCACCAUGUUUAUUAUUGGAGAGUUUGUUAACCGAAAAAUUUUAAAUCCUCGGUUUUAUGUCUCAGAUGCUAAUGAAUGAGUAUAUAUAAUAUAUAAUCAGCCAUGCAGAAUUCUACUUACCAAGGACAAGUACAUAUUUUUGAUGGGUAAGUGGAUUGUGCCAGGUCUGGUAGAUUUUUGAUGAGUUUUAUUAUAUACAUAUAUGUAUAUGUAUAAUAUACAUGUAUAUGUAUUAUAUAUAUGUAUAUAAACUAAUUUUGUUGUAUUUGAUGUGCAUCAUAGUGAUUUGUUAACCUGACCUUAGUGACCCCAUCUUGUGACCUGUUGCAAGAGUGAAUGUAAAAAUAGCUGUGGCAUUUUAAAAGGUCGCCUCGAUGCAAAUGCAUCUAUCUUGCUUCUAAGAUAUAUUUCUUGUAAACACUGUACAUUUUAAUUGUAAUAUGUACUAUUAUGCAGCUUAUUUUACAUUAAACUGUUAAGUUGACCGAUAUCCCUUCCUGCAAGACAGGGGAAUAUGUAUAAUAUCUGAACAUUUGAGAAAAAUCAGAUGUUUGUUGUAACUUGUCACCCUAUCCUGUAAAAACCAACAAAAAACCAAACCAGACUCGAAUUAAAGGUUUAUUAGGGGUUUUUA